rnacentral:lncRNA from 1 species
UCAGAGUGAGUUUUUUUUAGUAAUGGAGUUCGCAACAGAUAAAUUUUUGGCUCUUGCUUCCCAGAAGGUUGCUGUGCUGGUAGAUGAUGGAAAUUUCUUGGCCUGGAAACAACAUGUGCUGUUGAUAGUGAAGACUCAUCGACUGCAAAUGUUUCUUGAGGGGACGGUUUCUAUUCCUCCAAGAAUGCUUGUCAAUGAAGAAGGUAUUUCUGACGAGAAUCCUUUGUACGUGCGCUAUGAACAACAAGAUUCAGCACUUGCAGCGUGGCUUCUGUCGACUAUUAGUCCGACGCUACAUAAUCAGUUAGUCGGGAGUUCUGGGUCAUCCUGUGAGUUGUGGCAGGCCCUUAUGCGUAUAUUUGGAUCUCAUUCUACUACUAAGGCGAUGCGUUAUCGAUCGUUACUGCAUAAUAUUCGUAAAAAUGAGUUGUCUAUGUCUGCGUAUUUAGCGGAAAUCAAGCAUCUGUGUGAUUCUUUGGCAGGAUGUGGUCAGUGUGUGACAAUGGAAUAACAACAGUCUGCUAUUUUGAAUGGCUUACCACCUGAAUUUGAUAAUGUGGUGUCGAUUAUCACCACGAGCAGAGUCCCAUUUGAUCUUCAAGGUAUUACAACAGCACUUCUGGAUGCUGAGGCUCGGCAACAAGGGCAUUUUGCCCAGACGGUGUUUUCAGCAAAUGUUGCAGCAGUGCACAAGGAUGUUCCGGUUCCAAGUGUUCCGUCAUAUGCCGGUCAACCUCCACCGGAUAUGUUUCGUUCAUCGCGUGGAUCACAGAGUUCUCGUCGUGGUCGAGGUCGUGGGCGUCGAGGUGGUGGUGCAAGACCACAGUGUCAGAUUUGUGGAAAAUUUGGGCAUCUUGCUCGACGUUGCUUCUACAGAUAUGACUCGGCGUCUGAUGGAGAAGGAGAAAAUUCUAGCAUCAGGGACAAUACUGAGAGUUGGGCUAGAUCUUCUCACAUGGGUCGCAAGCCCAUUCAAGCUUAUAUGUGUUGUACGAAUGAUGGUUUGCAUUCGUCUUAUUAUGCCCAUAACCCACCGAUUUAUGAACCUCUUCGACAGAUUCAACCCACACUUAAUGAAAUGGAUUCUACUCAGCGUGGUCAAAGUACACAUUUUCACAUGCCUGCAGUUAUUGGUCAG